AAUAAAAGAAGAGACGGAUGGAAAGAUUAAGAGAAAAACAGCAGUUAAAACGAUUAGCAGUUUCUUUGUGUCUAUAUCAGUUCUACUCAGCAGUCAUUGACAGUGUUUCAGAGUAAAGAAGCGUGCAAGAAAAAACAUUACAGCAGUGGUUCACAAAGUGUGGGCGUUCAGCAAAAAAUUACAUUUAUGCAAUUGAUUUAUUUUUAUCCAAUAAAUAAAUAGAAAAUGCAUCCUUCUUAUAUUGUCUCACAACAGUUCAAAUACAAACAGCAGAAGAAUGUCAAGGUGCAGGACUGACUUUUCUCCAGGGCGUCUCCCUUAUCAGGUAAAUGUUACUACUUUUCAAUAUUUCCUUAACAAAUCUCAUCUCACAUGUGUAAAUAAUAUGAAUUCAUAAAAUAUAUUUCUCCUGCACACCAUCUCUCUAAUUUGUAUAUAUAUAUUACUCUUAAAUAAUGUGUACUUCAAAUAAUAUGAAUUCAUAAAAUAUAUUUCUCCUGCACACCAUCUCUCUAAUUUGUAUAUAUAUAUUACUCUUAAAUAAUGUGUACUUCAAAUAAUAUGAAUUCAUAAAAUAUAUUUCUCCUGCACACGAUCUCUCUAAUUUUUAUAUAUAAAUCACUCUUAAAUAAUGUGUACUUCACUUAUAUUUGGAUUUCACACUGUGCUCUUUUAGGCUUUAUUAUUCUUUCUGAUAUCGCCCAUCUCGUGUCGUUCCCAGAGCAUGUCCUGCAUUUGUAGUUGUAUAAGAAAGUGUGCGUCCCAAUCGAUCUCGCGGUAUUUCGGUGUCAUGCGCCGAUCGAUCUGCGCAGCGCAGAGGACGAACGCAGCUUACAGUAAUGCCUGGUAGUCAGUCAGACUUUACGCGUGAGUACAUGAAUGAGGAGAGUGAGACAAGAAAUUGUGGGAUGAGAGAGAGGGAUUCGCAAGCCGGGAAAGGACCACGAGUGGAGAUUCGAACUAAGGUUGCCGGAACUGCUGCUUUACAACAUUUCGGCGCACAGUCCACUGGACCUCUUGGCUCCUGCAUAACGAUGAAAACGUUGAGGGCCAGGCUCCGCUCUUUGAAGGCCUUUGAGCACGAAGAGGUGCUGACCGACCUGCUUUAACUGAGGUGUAAAUUGUAUUAAUCCACAGAUGGCUCUGAUGUUGAUGAUUCAAGUCACUAACACUGGCCUACAGGACUAUCUCUGGAUCAGCACCGGCAUACUUUCACACCCUCCUUCCCUCCUACACCCCAUGAAAAACCCUGCGUUCAGCAAAUGAGCAGCAUCUUGUAUUGUCUUCUUAAAAGGGCAGUAAAUCGCUUUCCCUCUCAUUCGCCUUCAUCAUCAUCUCUUCUGUGAAUGAUUGACAGGCAAAUAAAAAAAACUUUCUCUCAACAGGUAUUGUUCUGUAUUUGUGGAAACUAGUAACUUUGUGGUUGUUUCAUCUGACCUCAGGCCCUAUGUCUUGGACACUCGGGUGAAGAUAGGGGUGGCGCUGUCAACUGAUCACCACCUGGUGGUGAGUUGGAUCCGAUGGCGGGGGAGGAAGCUGGACAGACUCGGCAGACCCAAACGUACUGUGAGGGUCUGUUGGGAAUGUUUGGCCGAAUCCCCUGUCAGAGAGAUCUUCAACUUCCAACUCCGGCAGAGCUUCGACCAGAUCCCGUGGGAGUCUGGAGAUUUUGAGUACGAGUGGACCAUGUUCUCCACCUCCAUUCCAUUUUCUACCGCUUAUCCGAACUACCUCGGGUCACGGGGAGCCUGCGCCUAUCUCAGGAAUCAUCGGGCAUCAAGGCUGUUCUCCACCUCUUUACAUGUAAAUCACUCGCGCUUGACGCGCCAUUCGCGUUUGGUCUGAACACAACAUGACGUUACUGUGAAAUUACCACAUCAAGCGUGAGGUGCUAACAUGGAUGUAGCUUUGAAGCCGCCGGGUUGCUUCAGGGAAAAUGUAUUUUUAAGAAGCUUCCCAAUGGAAACAUCGACAUGACUAAGGUUGUUUGCACAUUGUGCAAUGCGAAAUUGGUUUAAAAAAAGCUUUCUCUCAACAGGUAGUGGUCUAGCUUCAGUUGAAACCAGUAAAUUUGUAUUGGGACCUAAUGUAUUAUGGCUCCUGUAUGACAUAUCGCUUGUUGCUCCCUCACUCUUUGUAUAUCACUUUGGAUAAAAGCGUCUGCUAAAUGACUAAAUGUAAAUGUACUGUAGGAGCUCUUCCAGUCUCAAGUACAACCUAAACGCAAAGCAUCCCUUAGCUAAUGCUAAUGUAAACACAAGUUCAUCUUAUUGAACAUAAUUUAAUUUUCAUCACCAAUUAUCAUAGUAGAACAGCUUUCUCAAGCAGUUUGUGAUGCAUUUUGGAAACAGGAGAUGAGCCCCUGGUCUAAUGCGCCACCUGGCUUGAGACACCUGUUCUGGGUAGCACACAUAUUCUGAAUGCCUUCGGCAGAAUUCAAAUGAGCCAUUUUAAUCUAGAUUAAUCUAGAUUAAUUCCAAGAUUAAUCUAAAUUAAUCUAUAUUAAAAAAAUCUAUGCCCACCACUAAGUAGCACCUAUCUUAUUGUUCCUAUGACAUAUCGCUUUAUUGGUCCCUGAACUCUCUGUAAAUCGCUUUGGAUAAAAGCUUCUGUUAAAUGACUAAAUGUAAAUGAAUCUGUUUUGAACGAUUCGGACGAGAUUAAUUUGUCAAGCCAUUUUGGUUGAAUGAUUCACGGACUCUGUAAAAAGUUGCUGGCACCUAAUUGGCCAUUUCAAAUUUACAUCUAAGGUUAGCUUUACAUUUUCCUUUAUAAACAUUGCUGUAGAAAUGUAUUUUUUUUUUUAAUUAGUUCUCAAUUUGAAAAAUGUUCUAGUGUACUUUAGCAGCCAAUCUACUAACAGUAAUAUUUCCAAAAAAUCCUUGACACUAGUGUUUUUGAGUCUUACCAUAGUAAAUAUUAAAGUAGACUACUGUAUUUGCCACACUCAAUCCGAUUGCUAUACUAGUUUACUAUAGAAGUCUUUACUGUUAGUAAACAUUGUGACAUUUUUGUGGGCGGAGCUUAGGUGGAGGCAGAAAUAUCCCCCUUUCAGGAUUACUAUUGCUAGGUAGCACGUUUGUUUGCUUGCUUUUUGACAAUGACUUGAAAAGAUCUGAUUAAAUUUCCACUUUCUAGGACCGCAUUUGUAUUUGAUAAAAGUAACUUUUAACGCAAGGAACCUGUCCGACCUGUAUGCACUCACUCAAUGGAUCUAGGGACGAACGGACAGGAUUACCUCCAGUUAAGUGCCCUGAAAUAAACCUACCAGACAGAGAAACCAAGCUUGUAUAGUAAAGAUAAGCUGAGAACGUAUAGAUGCCUGCGUGUACUAACCAUGGCAAACCUUAGCAAAUGCAUUUACUUGAACACAAACCUGAUACAUAACAUGAGCCUUCUCACUGUUCCCUCUCCCAUUAUACUAAUGCACUUGUGACACCAAAGAAGAGGUGACAAACAGUUUCGCACAUUUUCAGACCGAAGAUGACGGGAGUGGAUGUAGACCUGGACCACUGAUUUAAGGUAGAUGGGCGAAUUUGCUGUUAUCAUACUGAAGGCCAGUGUCAGAUUUGAACUUGAUGUGGGCAACAACUGGCAGCCAGUGAAGUGAAAUCAAAAGGGGUGUUAGAUGGAUUCUUAUAGGCUGAUUGAAAACUAGACGUGCAGCUGCAUUCUGGAUCAUUUGCAAGGGCUUGACUGCAUUGGUUGGAAGGCCGACCAGCAGAGAAUUGCAGUCCAGUCUUGAUAUGCCAGAGCUUGGACAAGCAGCUGAGAGGCAUGCUCCGACAGGAACGGCCUGAUUUUACUGAUGUUGUAGAGCACAUACCUGAAUUUGGAAAGCUUGCUGCAAUGUGGAUUUGGGCAUAGGCCUAUGUGAUAUAUUUUCAGACACAUACCCAAAUCAUCAUUUUAAUCCAUUUUAAUCUAAAGGGAAAUUUUUGAUGAUCGUUUCUGUUCAGUCCAUUCGUUUUAUUGUGUUUAACUACAGAUGUUGUCAGUGUUUUUGUUUGGCAAUGGCAGCAGGUAUGUGUUAAAAUAUCAAACUGAAGACUGUUUUCUGUCCAUUGGGGCACUAAACAAAACAACAAGAUGAUAUUUUAAACUCCUUAUGUAGCCGAAUCUGUGCUGGUUUGUAUUGGACUUCUCCAGUUUUCCCUUUGUUUUGUCUGAUUGCCUACAGCUAUUGCCACAGCGUAAGCGUGAUAUCGGUGCAAAAAGCGUCUAUAGUAAAUAUAUAUUUUUUUAAUUUAGAUAAUUUAGUUUAAGGAAAUUUGUUAUAUUUUGUAUAUUUAAAUUUGAACAUGGCACAGCAUCGUGAUACUGCUCGGUAUCAUAAUAGUUCAGCUGGUAUAGUAUCGUAAAAUAGGUUUAUGGUGCCAUGAUUACGAAGGGGUUAUUUGGCUCAUUAUGGAUGAAAAGAGCGAUUCAAAUAUUGUAUAUAGUAAGCACAUGUUUUUUUUUCAAUUCACUCUGUAUUUCAGUGUACGAACUGUCAGAAAGUUAAGAUGAUCAGUGGGCCUUCAGAGCUGGAAACCUCACAAACCUGUCACAAAUCCGACAGUCAAUGCAACUGCUCCUUUUAUCUAUUUUCGGGGUUUUAAAUAAAAAAAUGAGAAAUCUCUA